rnacentral:rRNA from 1 species
UGGGGAAUAUUGCACAAUGGGCGAAAGCCUGAUGCAGCAACGCCGCGUGAGCGAAGAAGGUCUUCGGAUCGUAAAGCUCUGUCCUUGGGGAAGAUAAUGACGGUACCCUUGGAGGAAGCCCCGGCUAACUACGUGCCAGCAGCCGCGGUAAUACGUAGGGUGCAAGCGUUAAUCGGAAUAACUGGGCGUAAAGGGCAUGCAGGCGGUUAUACAAGUAGGAUGUGAAAGCCUGGGGCUCAACCUCAGAACUGCAUUCUAAACUGUGUGACUAGAGUAUUGCAGGGGGAGACGGAAUUUCAGGUGUAGCGGUGGAAUGCGUAGAUAUCUGAAAGAACACCAAAGGCGAAGGCAGUCUCCUGGGCAAAUACUGACGCUCAUAUGCGAAAGCGUGGGUAGCAAACAGGAUUAGAUACCCUGGUAGU